rnacentral:rRNA from 1 species
UACGAAGGGGGCUAGCGUUACUCGGAUUGACUGGGCGUAAAGGGCGCGUAGGCGGUUCGUACAGUCAGACGUGAAAUUCCUGGGCUCAACCUGGGGGCUGCGUUUGAUACGUGCGGGCUUGAGUUCGGAAGAGGGUCGUGGAAUUCCCAGUGUAGGAGGUAGUAAUUGUAGAUAUUGGGAAGAACACCGGUGGCGAAGGCGGCGACCUGGUCCGAUACUGACGCUGAGGCGCGAAAGCGUGGGGAGCAAACAGG